rnacentral:snRNA from 1 species
GUACUUGCUCCGGCAGUACAUAAACUAAAAUUGGAACGAUACAGAGAAGAUUAGCAUGGCCCCCUGCGCAAGGACGACACGCAAAUUCGAGAGAGAGACAGGGUGGAG